AUUGAACGCUGGCGGAAUGCUUUACACAUGCAAGUCGAACGGCAGCACGGGGGCAACCCUGGUGGCGAGUGGCGAACGGGUGAGUAAUACAUCGGAACGUGCCCGGUCGUGGGGGAUAACGUAGCGAAAGUUACGCUAAUACCGCAUACGAUCUGAGGAUGAAAGCGGGGGACCUUCGGGCCUCGCGCGAUCGGAGCGGCCGAUGUCAGAUUAGGUAGUUGGUGGGGUAAAGGCCUACCAAGCCGACGAUCUGUAGCCGGUCUGAGAGGACGACCAGCCACACUGGGACUGAGACACGGCCCAGACUCCUACGGGAGGCAGCAGUGGGGAAUUUUGGACAAUGGGCGCAAGCCUGAUCCAGCCAUUCCGCGUGCAGGACGAAGGCCUUCGGGUUGUAAACUGCCUUUGUAUGGAACGAAAAGGCUCUGGCUAAUACCUGGGGCUCAUGACGGUACCGUAAGAAUAAGCACCGGCUAACUACGUG
rnacentral:rRNA from 1 species